rnacentral:rRNA from 1 species
GUAGUCCACGCCGUAAACGAUGAGUACUAGGUUUGGUGGGUCUUGACCCCCGCCGAACCGGAGCUAACGCACUAAGUACUCCGCCUGGGAAGUACGGUCGCAAGACUAAAACUCAAAGGAAUUGACGGGGGCCCGCACAAGCGGUGGAUCAUGUGGUUUAAUUCGAAGCAACGCGAAGAACCUUACCUGGAUUUGACAUCCGCUGACAGCCGUAGAGAUACGGUUUUAGUAGCAAUACUACAGCGAGACAGGUGCUGCAUGGCUGUCGUCAGCUCGUGUGGUGACAUGUUGGGUUAAGUCCCGCAACGAGCGCAACCCUUGUCCUUAGUUGCCAGCAUUCAGUUGGGCUCUCUAAGGAGACUGCCGUGGUUAACACGGA